rnacentral:rRNA from 1 species
GCUAAACGCGAAGAACCUUACCCACCUUUGACAUGUACGGAAUCCUUUAGAGAUAGAGGAGUGCUCGAAAGAGAGCCGUAACACAGGUGCUGCAUGGCUGUCGUCAGCUCGUGUCGUGAGAUGUUGGGUUAAGUCCCGCAACGAGCGCAACCCUUGCCAUUAGUUGCUACGAAAGGGCACUCUAAUGGGACUGCCGGUGACAAACCGGAGGAAGGUGGGGAUGACGUCAAGUCCUCAUGGCCCUUAUAGGUGGGGCUACACACGUCAUACAAUGGCUGGUACAGAGGGUUGCCAACCCGCGAGGGGGAGCCAAUCCCACAAAGCCAGUCGUAGUCCGGAUCGCAGUCUGCAACUCGACUGCGUGAAGUCGGAAUCGCUAGUAAUCGCGGAUCAGAAUGUCGCGGUGAAUACGUUCCCGGGUCUUGUACACACCG